GCUGCCCCAGCUGAUUUGCUCCAUCCAUGCCCGUCGCGCUGUUAUCUGCUGCUCACAGCUCACUCGUUGCCCGUAGCAUGGACUGGGGCAACUUGGUAGCGACCACACCUGGACCUAGUCCUGACGCGUUCAGGAUCGCUUUGUCGAAAAAGUUCUCCUCCCUCACAGGAUCGAUCGUCCUUGACGCGACACCGAGAGGUUGCUCGACGGCCUUAACUUGCAUCCGUGUGGAAGGCUUCAAUUCAGGCUUAUCAUCAGUGGAUCUUGACUCGAUCCGCGCUCUUCCGGCAGGUCCUCUUUCUUUCAGGGUGUCGGAGACCACUUGAGCCUAGAGGACCUUUUCCGUGGCGGUAGGCGGCGGCGGCGUCGUCGUCGUCGUCGCUCGUAGAGCUAGAGCCGUGUGCUUUUCUGGCCUGACACCGACAUGGCGACAUUGCUUCCUCGCAUAGCUGCUACUCCCCUACAGCCUUCCUUCCUCUCGGGGGUCACGCGUGAAUUCGUGCGUGUGCUGAGGAAGAUCGGCGAGGCAACGCUACAGCCGGCGCGGCCAAAGAUGAUCACGAGCGCGACGCGACCUUCGGGAUCGGAGACGAGGGAGGGGAGAGCUCCGAGCUGGUACGGGUGGCAGGGCAGGGCAAACCGUAUCGGGCCACACAAUCUACGCGGCGGCAGGGACAGGAUAGCUCUGUCUGUUGCCGGUGGGUGGGCCGUGCGGUGCCGCCGCGCCCGCGCCACACACCUGGCUGGCGCCGAGACCGCCAUGGAGCAGCAAGAUCCUAUCUUUUCUCCCCCGCAAUCUUUAACCCGCGAGGGAAUAUCGGCGACAUGAUCGUCCGGCUCCGAUCAUGUCAUGUGUCGCACACAUGAAGCUGCCGGCCGGACGAUCGAGCACGGGAAGGCGGUUUCUCAAAGCCUGAACUUUUGGUCCGGGGCGAGAGACGAUCAGACGAGAGAGGUCCCCUGUAGUUCACGCAUCCCGGAUUCCCGCGUCUCGUGUCGGCCCCCGUCGCGGGCCAAGCAAGGAAGCCUAAAGAAAACUGCCCGAGAACAUGCGGAGCAGGCGCACCCGCCGUCCGCCCUGCCGGUGGUGCGACAGGUGGAACCGAUCCCCCCAGCUACAAGCCCAUCCCCGCCGCCGCCUGCGGCGUCGGUUCACGCGCCGGGAGUGGGCGUUCCCACUCCCCCCGGUUCGUCCCCGGUGACGCGGUGCGCCGACCCGUCCUCGAUCGCAGGCAGCACGGAGCCUACUCCUCCUCCCCAACAGCAACACCCCAACCACUACGACAAGUUUGGCCAAAAGCUGGCGCCGCCCGCCCGCCCGGCUUCCUACAGGCUCCUCCUCUCGCGUUUGCGCCGCGCGCGUACGUACGCCGGGAGAGGGAAACCGGCAUGCCCACCGCGCCCCGCUCCCGGCACAUGCGAGGAAAAGAAAAGGCACGGCGUGUCCCAUGGGGCUUGUCCGGACGUGGAGAGGCCACCCGCCGCUCGCUGCGCGCCGACGCGACGCGCGCCGCUGCGGGGCCACGCCCGCGCGCAUAUGCUUUUUGGCGGCCCCGCCGGGCCUGGGAAUAUUUGGCCCGGCGCCGCAUGCGGCCGUGCAGGAGGAGGUCUGGGACUGGCCGCCGCUACCUAACAUUCUGCACCAGCUGUUCUCCGACCGCCGCGCGGCGCCGGCCGGCCGGCCGGCGGAUCUCGCCCAACGACCGGAGACUGUUCCCGACUGGUCAGGCAACAGGACGGAGCUCCCAUUCCAUACCAGGCAAUCAUAGGACGCGCUACAUGCAGCGCGCCUGGUGUUCCCAGUUACCGCAAUUGGGAUGGCUCCUGAGAGCCCUCGCUGUCCUUUUCUGAGGAGGUUCGGUUGCUACUUCUCUGUAAAGGGAUAUCAUAUAGGAUAUUUUGUUGCUAAACUAAUGUACGGCUGCUGGAAUAUUUUUAAAUUCUAAUUGCAAAUCUAGCGACACAGUUUUCGUAUCUCGGAUGUCAUUUGAGGCUUCAAGCAUAUCGGAAAGGUCAGAUCCAGAAAGCCUGGUAGCAUGGGCUCUGCUUCUGCGAGGGCAUCAAGUAAGCAGAGCAGGGUCGCAAGGCCUGCAUAAUGUGAUCUGCAUCUGAAGUGUACUGUACUACGUGAUUCUCCCAUUAUUCUAGGUGUCAAUUAUAAGGGGUGCAUGCGCUCAUCUACUUAUCUCGAGACCGCAUGGACAGUCUCGUCUCGUCCGGGCAGCUCGACGGCCCGAGUUCAACGUCUGAAGAAGUUCCGUACGCCGGGGGCCUUUCCUAUAGCGAAAAAAUGAGUGGGCCACGACCAACCAAGGCACCGACGGUUAUCUAACCCCCCUUGGGGUCGGGCUGGACACGGGGGGCGAUGCGACGGGAGCAGGCUGAGCACCCUUGCGAACCCGGCAAGCCGUGCCGGUGAUUGUUAAUAAUCUUCGUCGCGUCUAAACAACCAUAUCCCCGCAGGCAUCAGGAUGGCGAUCUAAUCUUAAGCUUUUGCCUGCUGGCAAUGGCUGCAGUGGCUAUCAUCAACGGAAAAAGAAGAUAGAUGUGAAUAGUGGACUGUCAGAGAAACUCAGGGCACAGGCGUCGCUGUGCCGGUGUGCCCGAGGAAGAAGAAGAAGAGGGCAGAGCGGAGGUGGAGGAGCUACAGGGUCAUGGCGGCAACCGUCGUGUCCAUCGAGGCAGGCUGCAGGCCUCGCUGGCCGGUGAUAUUCCAGUGAAGCUAAAGCUUCUACGGAUGGGUUGGUUUGAGCAGCUCUGGUUUCUUUUGAUUAUGCUCCGGUUUAAGUACGAACAAAAAGGGCAAAAAGAAAGGGAAGCUUAACUGCUACCGCCCGGUGCCGCCACCGCCACGCAUCAUGAUUGCUCAUGAACAUGCGCGGUCGGCACCAAGAACGCAUCGGAGGAUCGAUUAAACGGCAGAGAAUUAAAACGAAAGGUUUGGCAGUCAGUAGCAUAUCAGGAAGAGAAUUAGGAGAUAGAUAGCAGACGGAGGAUGGGAGUGUU